GGGACACAUGGCCUAACCACAUGCCCAUGUUACCAGGCCGUGACACAUGGUCUAAACACAUGCCCAUGUGUCUGCCCUUUUGGACAAAAUAAAGCCAUUUCUAGCUUCAUUUCUCACCCAAAAUUUCACCCAAGACCUACACUUCAAACACACAACCAAUACCAACCUUUCCAAGCAUUUAAAAUAGGCAAAUUCAUCAUUUAACAAGGCA
rnacentral:lncRNA from 1 species